rnacentral:tRNA from 1 species
CGGGGUGUGGCGCAGCUUGGUAGCGCGCUUCGUUCGGGACGAAGAGGUCGCUGGUUCAAAUCCAGUCACCCCGAC